rnacentral:hammerhead_ribozyme from 1 species
GCACUUUUGAAGAGUCCCAUACUAGGACGAAACGGCCGUCCAGUGC